GGAGCNUGUGGUUUAAUUCGAUGCAACGCGAAGAACCUUACCUACUCUUGACAUCUAGAGAAUCCAGCGGAGACGCAGGAGUGCCUUCGGGAACUCUAAGACAGGUGCUGCAUGGCUGUCGUCAGCUCGUGUUGUGAAAUGUUGGGUUAAGUCCCGCAACGAGCGCAACCCUUAUCCUUGUUUGCCAGCGAGUAAUGUCGGGAACUCCAGGGAGACUGCCGGUGAUAAACCGGAGGAAGGUGGGGACGACGUCAAGUCAUCAUGGCCCUUACGAGUAGGGCUACACACGUGCUACAAUGGCGCAUACAGAGGGCAGCAAGCUAGCGAUAGUGAGCGAAUCCCAAAAAGUGCGUCGUAGUCCGGAUUGGAGUCUGCAACUCGACUCCANGAAGUCGGAANCGC
rnacentral:rRNA from 1 species